GUAUUUUGAGGUGGUAAAUUUCGUGGAAACCACACACCAGUAAAAGCUGGUCAAAAGAGAUGUAGGAGAACGCCACGCCUACCAUAAUAC
rnacentral:ncRNA from 1 species